ensembl:lncRNA
AUGCAGCAAAUGAUGGACAGAAUUGGUCACUUUAAUCUCUCAGGGUUCAAAUACAAACAUACCCUCCUGCACUCUCUCUCUCUCCAUCCGUUUCAUGUUCCCACCCUCCUGCACUCUCUCUCUCCAUCCCUUUCAUGUUCCCACCCUCCUGCACUCUCUCUCUCCAUCCGUUUCAUGUUCCUACCCUCCUGCACUCUCUCUCUCCAUCCCUUUCAUGUUCCCACCCUCCUGCACUCUCUCUCUCCAUCCCUUUCAUGUUCCCACCCUCCUGCACUCUCUCUCUCUCCAUCCGUUUCAUGUUCCCACCCUCCUGCACUCUCUCUCUCCAUCCCUUUCAUGUUCCCACCCUCCUGCACUCUCUCUCUCCAUCCGUUUCAUGUUCCCACCCUCCUGCACUCUCUCUCUCUCCAUCCGUUUCAUGUUCCCACCCUCCUGCACUCUCUCUCUCUCCAUCCGUUUCAUGUUCCCACCCUCCUGCAGUCUCUCUCCAUCCCUUUCAUGUUCCCACCCUCCUGCACUCUCUCUCUCCAUCCGUUUCGUGUUCCUCUCUCCAUCCGUUUCGUGUUCCACCCUCCUGCGCUCUCUCUCUCCAUCCGUUUCGUGUUCCACCCUCCUGCGCUCUCUCUCUCCAUCCGUUUCGUGUUCCACCCUCCUGCGCUCUCUCUCUCCAUCCGUUUCGUGUUCCACCCUCCUGCGCUCUCUCUCCAUCCAUUUCAUGUUCCACCCUCCUGCGCUCUCUCUCUCCAUCCAUUUCAUGUUCCCACCCUCCUGCACUCUCUCCAUCCGUUUUGUGUUCCACCCUCCUGCGCUCUCUCUCUCCAUCCAUUUCAUGUUCCCACCCUCCUGCACUCUCUCCAUCCGUUUCGUGUUCCACCCUCCUGCACUCUCUCUCCAUCCAUUUCAUGUUCCCACCCUCCUGCACUCUCUCCAUCCGUUUUGUGUUCCACCCUCCUGCGCUCUCUCUCUCCAUCCAUUUCAUGUUCCCACCCUCCUGCACUCUCUCCAUCCGUUUCGUGUUCCACCCUCCUGCACUCUCUCUCCAUCCAUUUCAUGUUCCCACCCUCCUGCACUCUCUCCAUCCGUUUUGUGUUCCACCCUCCUGCGCUCUCUCUCUCCAUCCAUUUCAUGUUCCCACCCUCCUGCACUCUCUCCAUCCGUUUCGUGUUCCACCCUCCUGCGCUCUCUCUCUCCAUCCGUUUCGUGUUCCCACCCUCCUACACUCUCUCCAUCCGUUUCGUGUUCCACCCUCCUGCGCUCUCUCUCUCCAUCCGUUUCAUGUUCCCACCCUCCUACACUCUCUCCAUCCGUUUCGUGUUCCACCCUCCUGCACUCUCUCCAUCCGUUUUGUGUUCCACCCUCCUGCACUCUCUCCAUCCGUUUCGUGUUCCACCCUCCUGUGCUCUCUCUCUCCAUCCGUUUCGUGUUCCCACCCUCCUACACUCUCUCCAUCCGUUUCGUGUUCCACCCUCCUGCGCUCUCUCUCUCCAUCCGUUUCAUGUUCCCACCCUCCUACACUCUCUCCAUCCGUUUCGUGUUCCACCCUCCUGCACUCUCUCCAUCCGUUUUGUUUUCCACCCUCCUGCACUCUCUCCAUCCGUUUCGUGUUCCACCCUCCUGCACUCUCUCCAUCCGUUUCGUGUUCCACCCUCCUGCACUCUCUCCAUCCGUUUCGUGUUCCACCCUCCUGCACUCUCUCCAUCCGUUUCGUGUUCCACCCUCCUGCGCUCUCUCUCUCCAUCCGUUUCGUGUUCCACCCUCCUGCGCUCUCUCUCUCCAUCCGUUUCGUGUUCCACCCUCCUACACUCUCUCCAUCCGUUUCGUGUUCCACCCUCCUGCGCUCUUCCCUCUCCCUUUGUGCACUGUGAGUUGUGUAUUUGGUUUUACUGUCUCUUCUGUUCUUUGGCACUGACAUCUAACCUUCAUCUAAUAAUGAAUGAAUGAAUGUUUUAAAUGAGCUGUGUGUAAUGGUGAAAUUUGGGAAAUGUAUUUUUACAACAUGUGAACAUGAUUCCUUUUUGGGGGGGUCUUUCACUCACUCUUGUCGUGAAUUCAUUGAUUUUCUUUCACCAGACUGCAAAAUCAAUGUAAUUAAACAUAGAAGAACAGUCUCCUGUAACUAGGCUCUUAUGCUUUAUUUUUCUUUUGUUUACUUUUUUUAUUAGAAACAAUCAUGUUUGUUUCCGAUGGUAAACUCCACACCGUAUUUUAAUAAAAUCCCUUUUGUUUCUCACGCUGCUUUCUUCUGUUGAAGGUAAUGGUAUUUCUGUCUUAAUCUGUCUCUGUGUGUGUGUGUGUGUGUCCUCAAACUCAGAGAACAAGGAGAAUCUAUCAUAUUGCCUGUAUGGAUAUUACCCUCAGCCUUGAGAUUUCCAAGAUUCAUUCAGUGUGUGUAUACUUGUGAGAGUGCAUAGUGCAAGCUUUGCAGUAUAGCAGUGAUAACCCAGGUGUGCUGCCUUCCUCCAGCCCUGGGGAUAGGAGCAACCACUGCCCCCCCACCCCCCCUAACUAACUGACUGUUUACAACCUUUUGGCUGUCUUUAUAUGGGCACUGGGGUGAUGCAGUGCCAAGCGCUCCAGAGCUCAUGGCAGCUUUACGAGUAGGCAGACCAGGUGGGGGGCAGGCAGCGGAGAGGGGUACAGUCAUAGCAUCAUGUGGCUGGGAAUGCCAACUCCAAAAUUGUUACCACAUGUACCAUCCGUAACCCCUGAUGAGAGAGCGGUCUCACCCUCAUGGUCCCAUCGCUGGAGGGAGGCCCCCUUGGUUGUACUCCGUCUACUAGGAUAUUCCCCUAGGCUGAGCUACGGCACCCUUCGGCGAAGGCGAUCUUGGGUACACACGUUCAUGGAAGCUACCUCGGAUGCAAUGCCACCUUUUGAUUCAUGUGAAACGCUUUAUGACGAGCCCUUUUAAUAUGUACUCCAUAUGCCUCAGACCAACCCUCCAUCUCUCUACCAGAUAUACAACACUAUAGGCUUGUAACUAGCUACGGGAGGUGGACAGGAGGUGAGUUUGUUUUCCUCUUGACUUGUUCAUUUUCCUUCCUCACAAGGAACUGCAUUUUCCAUAGGACAGUAUUUCCAUAGGACAGUAAUUCCAUAGGACAGUAAUUCCAUAGGACAGUAUUUCCAUAGGACAGUAUUUCCAUAGGACAGUAUUUCCAUAGGAUAGUAAUUCCAUGGGACAGUAUUUCAAUAGGACAGUAUUUCAAUAGGACAGUAUUUCCAUAGGACAGUAUUUCCAUAGGACAGUAUUUCCAUAGGACAGUAUUUCCAUAGGAUAGUAAUUCCAUGGGACAGUAUUUCAAUAGGACAGUAUUUCAAUAGGACAGUAUUUCAAUAGGACAGUAAUUCCAUAGGACAGUAUUUCCAUAGGACAGUAUUUCCAUAGGACAGUAUUUCAAUAGGACAGUAAUUCCAUAGGACAGUAUUUCCAUAGGACAGUAUUUCAAUAGGACAGUAUUUCAAUAGGACAGUAAUUCCAUAGGACAGUAUUUCCAUAGGACAGUAUUUCAAUAGGACAGUAUUUCAAUAGGACAGUAUUUCCAUAGGACAGUAUUUCAAUAGGACAGUAUUUCAAUAGGACAGUAUUUCAAUAGGACAGUAAUUCCAUAGGACAGUAUUUCCAUAGGACAGUAUUUCCAUAGGACAGUAUUUCAAUAGGACAGUAUUUCCAUAGGACAGUACACAGCAACUGUAAUCCCUUCCUGGUAGCUGUUCUACAUGACAUCAUAUGGAGUGAAAUAUACAGCUUAUUGCAGAUUCCAGAAGGUAUGCUACCUUUCUCAACAGUUAGCUCGUUUUAAGGGCCUUUGGUGUUCACUUGUCAUCAAAGUCCAUUUCAUGUGAGUGUUACAGUCAUCGAGCUCUCUUCCUGUGUAGUCACUGUUGGGGUGCCAGCGACCCUGCUUUCGUGAGAAGCAUUCGUCGGGAAAGAACAGGUUGCAUAAUGAUCUCUCUUCUGACGUAGGCCCGGGGAGAAAACAGCUUUUUAACAGGCAGAUUCACUGGCCCCUGUGCCCCCCGUCUCCCACUCCGAGCUAGUUUGUUUUGCAACAGGCUGGGCUGCCUUCAUCCGUCCUCUAGCCCCAGCCCUGGUGCUGCACUCCCCUGCCAGACGCCACAAUGGCCCUGGACCAGGAUAUUUAUCUGGCGCUUGUCUGUGUUAGGGGGUGGGGGGAUACUGAUCCCCAGAGAUGUCAAUACAACCUUGGAAUACAUCAGUGGACCUGUAAAAAAAAAACUAUUUGACUUUAGGGAAGUUGAUUAGUCACUGUCAUGGUGGGUCGGGGUCAUAUGAUGGGAAAUGGGGUAUUUGCUUUGGGGUGGUCGUUGAAGACCAGACUACAUCCUGCUGGCUAGAAUCCUCUUGUUUACCAACUAGCUUUACUUGUAAAAAGCUUUAGGUAGGUCAGAGUAGGGCCAGGAGCUCAAGAGAGAAGCUCCAGGGCCCAUGGAUGAGGUACUGUGGAAAGUUGUAUUGUUUAAGUGAGAUUGAAAGUGUUUCUUGUUGACAAGACAGAAGACAUAAUAUUUGUGUGCAUGAUAAAUUAACCUCUGUAUAGACUCCUCAGGCCCUCACGUUCAAUCUAGGGAUUGUAUUAGCAACCCAAAGAUGAGACCGCUAAUAUUUGCCCGUCCCCAUAUAAAUAUGAAUCUUUACAAUGGAUGGCUUGGAGAUGACUGACUUCUGUGUUUAUUUCCGAUAAUAACUACAACUUUGUAUCCAGCCUACUUUCUCCAUCCCCGUUAUCCUUUAUAAGCGUGUCUCAAUAAUGGAGUUCUGGCUUCUGCCAUUUGGCAAGUGUUAGUGAGUGUUUGACAGGGGGACUUUGUGUGUGUGCGUGUGCGCGGUUUGAUAUCAGUUGUUUUAGUGUGUGUGAUGUGCGCCAAGUGGUAAGCUGCUCUGUGCUCAUCCUGCUGUGACUCAAAUCCAGAACAGGCCAGUGUGAUCAGUGCCAACGUGUAUGUUGCAGUUUUAUGUGUGUGUGUGUGUGUGAUAUUCACCUUUAGGCCAGUGUGAGUCAGCUAGUGUGGACGCCCGGCUCUGUCAUUAAUCAGCGGGCAGAGCAAGUCUGGGUUUUCCGUAACCUACUUUCAGUAAGAGAGGAGAAGGGCAGAGGUGAGAUGGGGGGAAAGAGGGCUUCCAGUUGGGUUCUAUAAAUGUUUCACUGAGAGGUCAUCGUGGCCCGUUAACCCAGGCGGCUUCUUAUCAUUACAGCACAGCUUAGGAGAUGGAACGUCCUUAGCUUUGGGAUAAAUCCAGUCUUAGCCCACAUCUGAGGAUGGAGGAGGGAAAAGGAUAGCUGAGAGGAGGAUAGCCCAAGGCUUAAAUAUUUACAAAUGACAUGUUUUGGAAUGACCAGAGGCGCCUUUGUGUGUGUGUGUGUGUGUGUGCGUAUGUUAAAUAGUUUGACACACACGCACACGCACACACACACACACGCACAGGCUCAUUCACACUGAGCUUCAUACUGAGUCCCAACACAUGGAUCAAUAGCCAGCUCAGUAGUGGAGCAGUAAUACGUUGUCCAUGUGUUCGCCAGCUGUGGGGGAAUAGUUAUGUGAGGACACAGACAGACAUGCUUUAACCCUCUCUCCUUCACUUCACUGACCAGAGGAAGUUUGUCCAGUGGAGUCAUCAGCUGAGUUGACCACUAAGACCCUACUCUAUUUAUUGUUACAUGGACUUGUCUCUUCCAGAGCCAGACUGCUGAUCUGGCGUCAUUAAACAAGCAGACGGGUUGGGAUUUCUCCGCUCCAACUGUAACAAUUAAAACAUUUUAAAUGGUCCAUGGAAAACAUAAAUACUGUACAAUAGGAAUGCACUGACUGCCAAGUGAGAUCUAUUGUGUGUUACAUGGUGUUCAUUACCUCGUCAGCAAUAUGAGGUUAGGGGCUACUGAGUUUACACAGCAACACAGAGCCAGUGGGAGAAGGUGUGUGUGUGUGUGUGUGUGUGUGUGUGUGUGUGUGUGUGUGUGUGUGUGUGUGUACACACAGAGAGUGGGAGAGAAUGGGAGAGAGGGAGGAAGAGAUAGCUACUGUAGAGGGGGCUAUGCAGUGCCUUUCCAUACAAGGAGAGGUAGGGGGCGAGAGCCAAAGAGAGGGGGGAGGAGAGAAGGGGAAUACAAGGGGAUACAAUGAAGGAGGAGGGUUGUAGAAAGGUAUAUCUGGAGAGAGAGACUGAUAAGGCUCCCUGAUCCUGCAACCACACGGAGUAGAGAGAGAAUAAGAGAGAGUGGUUGGAGCUGUCCUGCUGAUAUAUCCUCUGUCACUGACCGACUCGUACUGACCAG